UGUAUGCACUUGAAUUCAUUUGGAACCUCAGGGUAUAAAUCAGUAUGGAAUGUUUGGUUUAAGAAUACAUAUCAUGAGAAAAAUUAAGUUAUUCCUAGAUGGUAAUUCCCUAACUAUCAAGAACAAACAAUACAUAUUUUUUUCCUUCUGACAGGAUAAGUAAGCGAAUAGAUUAAUGCAAUGACUACUACUUCGAUUGUAGUAGACAAUGCUGUUGGUUAAACCCCUGGACUGGCUAAGUAUAUCCAUUAGAUUGGUUGGAUUAAGUAGUAUAAGAUAAGGUUGUUUGACAAGUUAUUAGAGGAAAGGUAUUUGUUCAAUCAUUUGUUAUCCUAUUAAAUGGCUCCUUAAGAAUAUAAUCGGAAGGAAAACAUAUAUGCUACUAGUGUACGAUGAGUAAUACUUGUUUGACAAACACUGCAAAAAACUUUAGAAAGAAAAAACAGGAUGAUAUGCGUUGGUUGAAGGGAUAAAUUUGGCAGUGAAGAAAGGAUGAACUCAAGCAGGGCCGUGCCAAGGUGAUGAUGUAUCAAAAACCAUACUAUUUGUUUUAUGUAUGAGUAUGUUUAAUUUGACCCAGUUAUAACCCUCAUCUACAAGUGAUGCAUGCAUAUAAUCAGGAUUUUGAAAAGAAAAGAAGAUCUUAAAGCAUACAAUAAGAAAGAAGAUCUUCUUUUAACUAAAACUAGAUAUUAUUUUGUGCAGCCUUUUCUAUGGCAUCAUAGAUUUAAGCAUGAUCAAUAUCUUUUUCCUUUUUAUCUUUGGAAGUGCUUUAUGUGAUUUCCCUUUUUGAAGUUCUAAUUUUUGUCAGAAAAACAAUAUGUUGAUGCCGCUGACUCGUGGCAGAUUACCACUAAGCUUUAGUUUUUUCCCCCCUAUGGAUGCAAAAAUUAGAUACUGGGGUUGGACUCAAUAGUGGCCUUUACACCAUGCAGCCAUUAUUUUCCCCAGUUGUUAAUUACAACACAGAGUUUCCGCAGCUUGAAUCAGGUCACAAAGCUCAAAUUCCUGUGGACCUCCAAACUUGGUCUAUACUCUCACGUACAUGGACUUUAGCUAUUGCCUUCAGCACCUACUGCAGUCAACUAUGGCCCUUUGGAAGUUCAUGAUCACUCCACAUCAGUCUAUGUGUACUCAUCUUGAUAUUCGGUGCCUCCAUAUCCUGGAAUGUCUUUCCCUCAUCCUAAUUUACACAUUCAAACUUCUGUGCAGAAAAUCGGAAAGUUCCCCCUCGAAUGUAGAGGUCGCUGGGACAUAUGCUUGAACCCAAUUGCUGAAUUUAGACUUGCGCAUCCCAACGCAAGGUUUGAAUUGGACUUGCCUGCACCCGUCGUUAGGAGCUCCGAGCUCGAUAAUACGUUGCCACAAUUCCUAGAAUCAAAGGCUUCCUGGCUAGACCAUCAGGCGAAUGGGAAAGAGGUUCUUGAUGCUGGUCACAAGCCCAAAUGGUGAAAUAAUCACGAGAGAACAAAAGCAGCAGAGGAGCCACCAGGUUGUUCCUUCCAGCUAGAUUUUGAUAACACUGAAUCCUAACAUCCCUUUUGAAAAAAGAGUCAGUUGUAGAGCAUCUUCUUCGCAGGCAUACCGAAGACAGAAAGAGGAAGAGAUGUUGACGGUGUCGGAAUCGUCAUCAGCUUGGAAUAAAGUGGCAUGACCUUCAGAGCACUUCAUUCUUUAUCAAGCUACCUCUUCGUGCGCUCCAAGUUACAGGAAGAGAGGCAACGACUGCUAGUAAACAAGAAUGGCAGCUGAGAAAGCAGUUGCAGUAAGCAUGACGGGAAAGGGGAUGCUGUGGCUGCUUGCAGCAUUGUGUCGAUGGUUGUGACCCCCGCCGUCGUUCCUUGGGUGGCCUGCUGCUGCAGCUCCAAGAAUCGGAAUCACUGCUCCGGUACCUGAAUCAGCUGCGGUACCUGAAUCGCCACCUCCGUGCCCUUGGCCACCGCUGCUGCCACCACCGUGCCCUUGGCCACCGCUGCUGCCACCACCACGACGGGAUAAUCUGCUUCCUCUGCCACCACCUCCUGUCUCUGCCGCUGCCGCUGCCGCUGCAAAGUUUCAAGCCAAAUGUUUGCCACAUCUUCCUAUGAGAACAUCCACAACACAUUUGCAAUCAUCGACUCCACAAGCCCCAAGAAGAAUGUAGAGGCAAGAAACAACCAAAGAAAGCCUAUGCGUCAAGCAAACUACCGAAGUCGAUGGGUUCGCCGGACUGCAGCUGGCAGACAAAAUAGGUGACGAGGAGGAAGAGAAGUCGAGGCUUCAUCUUUUCCAUUGCUGCCACUGUGAAGAUCUUUCACUGUUCUUCUUUAGACAGGAGAUGAUGAUAAUAACAUAAAGAAAUGGACGCCGCCACCGCCUCUCUACACCCAGAAACCACGAUUCCCACGCCACUUCGUCCAGGCUUUGUACCUUCCACACGUCGUAAAGGUGAUGCCUUUUCCUCUGUGAUUGAGAGAGAGAGGAUGAACGAUUGAGGUCAUGAGUGGAUUGGUGUACGAUAGAGAAAAUUCUUGCUCAACUUAUUGUAUCAAACCGUGGAUUCAUUGCGUGUUGAUUAAAGUUCAUCCUCCCAGCUGCU